UACGUCGGGAGCAAGCGUUGUCCGGAAUCCUUGGGCGUAAAGAGCGUGUCGGCGGUUUGCUACGUCUGGUGUGAAAUCUUUCGGCUUAACCGGAAGCGGUCACUGGAAACUGGCAGACUUGAAUCUGGAAGAGGAGUGUGGAAUUCCUGGUGUAGCGGUGGAAUGCGCAGAUAUCAGGAGGAACACCUAUGGCGAAGGCAGCACUCUGGUACAUGAUUGACGCUGAGACGCGAAAGCGUGGGGAGCAAACAGG
rnacentral:rRNA from 1 species